GCUGAAGAAAUAUAACAGAAGAAAUGUAGUUGAAGCCCGUGUGUACUCCGCCAUGAUCACAUUGAUCUCCUUUCCCCCUACACCACAGAGGCAUGGCAUGAGAUUAAAGAUAGAUACCCAUCCCACAUGCUGCAAUCUUGGAGAAAAGCAAUCCUGAAUAAUAAAUACAGAGAAGCUAUCUCAGGCACUGGCUGUCAUGGACACUUGGGCAGUCUCAAAAGGCAACCCAGGAAAAUCAGAGUGGAGGACAAGCUGAAGGGCACACUCCACCUAAGGACACAAGAAGAUCAUGUUUCCUGAAGUCUGCUUUGCCAGUUACCCAGUUCUGCCAGGAGACGAUACUUGGGACCCAAGCAAACCAAGCCUCAGGAGCCACUUCAUGGGAAACUGCAAAAGCCUCUGCAAAGAUGACAGGCAUUCUGCCCAGAGGUCUACAUCACAGUUGGUUCUUGAAACUUCCUUUUAUAUUUUCCUUAGCUCUUUCAAUGGAGCUGGGUUUCCCACACGGGGAGUAUCCUGUGGUGGCUAAAUGUAGGGUGACACAACUGGGCCAAGACCCUGUGAAUUCCAGCACACUCAUGAGUUUGGUGGGAGCCUUUGGAAACCAUUGGACAAAGCCCCAAGUUUUGAUUUUUGCCCUCUCAAGUUGAGUCAGAUUGGAGGUCACCAUCUGAAGCACAGCAGGAAGGGUCAGAAUGGAUGAGCUGACUGGCAGCUUCUGCACAGCUUUUCCGGAACACUUGGUUGCCUGAGGAAUUACAUCCCGAGUAAUUGACUGGGACAAUUAGGCAGACUCUGAAAGUCAAGCUUGGAAGGCACAUGCUGAAGUGCACCCACAAAUGGGUAAGCUCCAUUGUAGCCCUUUGCAGAUGUCACUCAAAUGCAAAGAUCUUGGGAGAGUUUUCUUUCCAAAGCUGGCAGAGGUAUCACUGGUAUCGAGUGUUCUGCCCAUAAAAAUGAUAAAGUGUCAGUUAAUGUCAGUCCUUUGCUAAGAGCAACAGCUGGGGACUCUGUGCUGGCAGACGGGGGUGAAUUGUAUAAUCAAGCAAAGCUUAACUCUCAUGAGUAUGACAAUCUGCAGCUCUCAAUAAGUUUGCUUGUAAGGAAGCAUUCAUCCUGCACUGGGACACCAACUUCCCCCUCCACAACCACGCACCCCCACAGAGACUCCACAUAGCUUUACCAUGCAAGGUAUGUGUAACCAGCCUUCUACUUUAUAGCAACAUCUGUCUAACUAGGUGUUAUUGUGCCAACAGUAAGAGUUGUGUUCCCGAACCAAGUUCACCAAAUUACAAAGAUAGAAGAAUGGUAGUGCCAGUGGAUGUUGAUUCUUUAGUGCCUGUCAUGUCUACUUCAUAGGGUGUGAGCAUUUCAUAGGAUAACGCAUAAGGAGAGG
rnacentral:lncRNA from 10 species